CGUGAAAUAAAUCACAAACAAAUACCCCCUUUAUUUGAUUGUGUGAAUUUCUCCUUUUGAUUGCGCUGAAAUACCCCCUUUAUUUGAUUGUGUGAAUUUCUCCU
rfam:Listeria fleischmannii subsp. coloradonensis strain TTT M1-001 Contig257, whole genome shotgun sequence.